AGAAGAGAGGAGAAACCCCCACUGCUGCUGCCAUGAGAGACCCCAUGAAACGUGAUUGAAGGUAGCAAUGAUGCAAGAGUUUUGCGAGGGGAACCAACCUAAGAGAGGAAGACAGCAUAAGAGCCUGUGGUCAUGAGAAAAGAAUGAGAAAGAAGGCAGAACAGGAAGAAGAUGGUUGCCUGCUGAAUGCAUGCAAGCUGUCAGGCACUGCAGCAGCCAGAAUGGAGCAACUGACAGUUCUUCCAGAGCUACCUGCA